GCCUGGCUGGCUCAGUCAGUAGAACGUGUGACUCUCAAUCACGGGGUGGUGAGUUUGAGCCCCAUGUUGGGUG
rnacentral:tRNA from 1 species